CCUAGUGCUGAAGGCGCGGUGGAACCACUCCGAUCCAUCCCGAACUCGGGUGUGAAACGCUGCAGCGGCGAAGAUACUUGACGGGACACUGUCUGGGAAAAUAGCUCGGUGCCAGGU
rnacentral:rRNA from 1 species